rnacentral:rRNA from 1 species
UGCCGCGUGUGUGAAGAAGGCCUUUGGGUUGUAAAGCACUAUAAGCGAGGAGGAGGCUACCUGUAUCAAUACUCUAGGAUAGUGGGACGUUACUCGCAGAAUAAGCACCGGCUAACUCUGUGCCAGCAGCCGCGGUAAUACAGAGGGUGCGAGCGUUAAUCGGAUUUACUGGGCGUAAAGCGUGCGUAGGCGGCUGAUUAAGUCGGAUAUGAAAUCCCUGAGCUUAACUUAGGAAUUGCAUUCGAUACUGGUCAGCUAGAGUAUGGGAGAGGAUGGUAGAAUUCCAGGUGUAGCGGUGAAAUGCGUAGAGAUCUGGAGGAAUACCGAUGGCGAAGGCAGCCAUCUGGCCUAAUACUGACGCUGAGGUACGAAAGCAUGGGGAGCAAACAGGAUUAGAUACCCUGGUAGUCCAUGCCGUAAACGAUGUCUACUAGCCGUUGGGGCCUUUGAGGCUUUAGUGGCGCAGCUAACGCGAUAAGUAGACCGCCUGGGGAGUACGGUCGCAAGACUAAAACUCAAAUGAAUUGACGGGGGCCCGCACAAGCGGUGGAGCAUGUGGUUUAAUUCGAUGCAACGCGAAGAACCUUACCUGGCCUUGACAUAAUAGAAACUCUCCAGAGAUGGAUUGGUGCCUUCGGGAAUCUAGAUACAGGUGCUGCAUGGCUGUCGUCAGCUCGUGUCGUGAGAUG